rnacentral:tRNA from 1 species
GCUGAUGUGGCUCAGUCGGUAGAGCAGUUCACUCGUAAUGAACAGGUCGUGGGUUCGAUUCCCUCCAUCAGCUCCA